GGACACUGUGGAUUCAACGUCAGAAGCUUGACGAGUCUUAGUUCUGAGGGUUCAAGAAUCUGAAAUCAAGGUGCCGGCAGGAGAAAGACUUUCUUGGCUCUGCUUCCAGCCCCAGGUCUUUUGGCUCCAGGCCCUCACCCCAGCUUUCCACAGGUACCUCUGCAUGCCGGUUCUCAGUAGAAGAAAAUCUUAAAGCCACUUUACCACUGAAACUCAGUAGCCGGGAUUUUCCAAUUUUGUGCCCCUACGAGUGUUCCAUGAAUUCAUGUAGCCUAGGUUUGCCUUGAAUUCACCAAAUAAUCAAGAGUGAUCUGGAACUGAUCCUUCUGUCUCUGCUUUCUGAGUGCUGGGAUUCCAGGCGUGCAUCAAUCCACCGAGCUAGGAAUGGAGCCCAGAGCUUUGUGCGU